AGCCUCAGGAAAAUUAAUCUAAGGUUAAACCUGCCCAAUGUUAAUUAUUAUCAAUGGCCGCGGUACUUUGACCGUGCUAAGGUAGCGCAAUCAAUUGGCUUUUAAUUGAAGCCAUGUAUGAAUGGAAUCACGGGGUUUAGCUGUCUCUUAAUUAAUUUAUCGAAGUUACUAUUUAGGUGAAAAAGCCUAAAAGAAGAAAAAGGACGAGAAGACCCUUAGAGUUUUUCUAAAUCUAGGAUUGUUCCUAAGACAGUUUAGUUGGGGCAACAUAGGAGCAUAUUAAACCUCCUGUAAUAUACUUACCGAUAAUAAUAAAUAUGAAUAAACUACCUUAGGGAUAACAGCAUAAUUUUAUAAAUAAGUUUGUGACCUCGAUGUUGGACUAGGAAACUGAAAGGCUAGCCGCCUUUUAGGAAAGUUCUGUUCGAACUAUUAUUCCU
rnacentral:rRNA from 1 species